rnacentral:rRNA from 1 species
GAUGAACGCUGGCGGCGUGCUUAACACAUGCAAGUCGAACGAAGCUGCUAAAAGGAAGUCUUCGGACAGAAUUUUAGUAGACUUAGUGGCGGACGGGUGAGUAACGCGUGGAUAACCUGCCUUAUACAGGGGGAUAACGGAGAGAAAUUUCCGCUAAGACCGCAUAAGACCACAGCACCGCAUGGUGCAGGGGUAAAAUAUUUAUAGGUAUAAGAUGGAUCCGCGUCCGAUUAGCUAGUUGGUGAGGUAGAGGCUCACCAAGGCGACGAUCGGUAGCCGGCCUGAGAGGGUGAACGGCCACAUUGGGACUGAGACACGGCCCAAACUCCUACGGGAGGCAGCAGUGGGGAAUAUUGGACAAUGGGGGAAACCCUGAUCCAGCGACGCCGCGUGAGUGAAGAAGUAUUUCGGUAUGUAAAGCUCUAUCAGCGGGGAAGAAAAUGACGGUACCUGACUAAGAAGCCCCGGCUAACUACGUGCCAGCAGCCGCGGUAAUACGUAGGGGGCAAGCGUUAUCCGGAUUUACUGGGUGUAAAGGGAGCGCAGACGGCGAAGCAAGUCUGAAGUGAAAUGCAUGGGCUCAACCCAUGAAUUGCUUUGGAAACUGUUUGGCUUGAGUGUCGGAGGGGUAAGCGGAAUUCCUAGUGUAGCGGUGAAAUGCGUAGAUAUUAGGAGGAACACCGGAGGCGAAGGCGGCUUACUGGACGACAACUGACGUUGAGGCUCGAAGGCGUGGGGAGCAAACAGG